rnacentral:rRNA from 1 species
GAUGAAUGCUGGCGGCGUGCCUAACACAUGCAAGUCGAGCGGUAACAGGCUCACUGUUUGCUUCUCUUUUUUCGAUUUUCGAAGAAAUCAAGAGGAGUGAAGAGUGAGCGCUGACGAGCGGCGGACGGCUGAGUAACGCGUGGGAACAUGCCCCAAAGUGAGGAAUAACUGCCCGAAAGGGUGGCUAAUGCCGCAUAUGGUCUUCGGAUUAAAGUCUUCGGACGCUUUGGGAGUGGCCUGCGUUGGAUUAGGUUGUUGGUAGGGUAAUGGCCUACCAAGCCUGCGAUCCAUAACUGGUCUGAGAGGAUGAUCAGUCAGACUGGAACUGAGACACGGUCCAGACUCCUACGGGAGGCAGCAGUGAGGAAUCUUCCACAAUGGGCGAAAGCCUGAUGGAGCAACGCCGCGUGCAGGAUGAAGGCCUUCGGGUCGUAAACUGCUUUUAUAAGUGAAGAAUAUGACGGUAGCUUAUGAAUAAGCACCGGCUAACUACGUGCCAGCCGCCGCCGUAAAAC